UACGGAGGAUCCAAGCGUUAUCCGGAUUUAUUGGGUUUAAAGGGUGCGCAGGCGGGAGAUUAAGUCGGCGGUGAAAUUUUGCAGCUCAACUGUAAAAGUGCCUUCGAAACUGGUUUCCUUGAGUGUAGAUGAAGUAGGCGGAAUUUGUGGUGUAGCGGUGAAAUGCAUAGAUAUCGCGAGGAACUCCGAUUGCGCAGGCAGCUUACUAAACUACUACUGACGCUCAGGCACGAAGGCGUGGGGAUCAAACAGGAUUAGAUACCCUGGUA
rnacentral:rRNA from 1 species